rnacentral:rRNA from 1 species
UACGGAGGGGGCUAGCGUUGUUCGGAAUUACUGGGCGUAAAGCGCACGUAGGCGGCUUUGUAAGUUAGAGGUGAAAGCCCGGAGCUCAACUCCGGAACUGCCAUUGAAACUGUGAAACUUGAGGAUGAGAGAGGUGAGUGGAAUUCCCAGUGUAGAGGUGAAAUUCGUAGAUAUUGGGAAGAACACCGGUGGCGAAGGCGGCUCACUGGCUCAUUUCUGACGCUCAGGCGCGACAGCGUGGGGAUCAAACAGG